GAUGAACGCUGGCGGCGUGCCUAAUACAUGCAAGUCGAGCGAAAAGACGCGGAGCUUGCUCCUCUGACGUUAACGGCGGACGGGUGAGUAACACGUGGAUAACCUACCUAUAAGUCAGGGAUCACUUCGGGAAACCGGAGCUAAUACGGGAUAAUAUAUUGAACCGCAUGGUUCGAUAGUGAAAGACGGCUUUGCUGUCUCUUAUAGAUGGAUCCGCGCCGCAUUAGCUAGUUGGUAAGGUAACGGCUUACCAAGGCGACGAUGCGUAGCCGACCUGAGAGGGUGAUCGGCCACACUGGAACUGAGACACGGUCCAGACUCCUACGGGAGGCAGCAGUAGGGAAUCUUCCGCAAUGGGCGAAAGCCUGACGGAGCAACGCCGCGUGAGUGAUGAAGGUCUUCGGAUCGUAAAACUCUGUUAUUAGGGAAGAACAAAUGUGUAAGUAACUAUGCACGUCUUGACGGUACCUAAUCAGAAAGCCACGGCUAACUACGUG
rnacentral:rRNA from 1 species